UGGCUCAGUUGGUAGAGCAUGGUGUUUGCAACGCCAGGGUUGUGGUUUCGAUUCCCAU
rnacentral:tRNA from 1 species